rnacentral:rRNA from 1 species
GACGAACGCUGGCGGCGUGCCUAAUACAUGCAAGUAGAACGCUGAAGAGAGGAGCUUACUCUUCUUGGAUGAGUUGCGAACGGGUGAGUAACGCGUAGGUAACCUGCCUUGUAGCGGGGGAUAACUAUUGGAAACGAUAGCUAAUACCGCAUAACAAUGUAUGACACAUGUCAUUUAUUUGAAAGGGGCAAUUGCUCCACUACAAGAUGGACCUGCGUUGUAUUAGCUAGUAGGUGAGGUAAUGGCUCACCUAGGCGACGAUACAUAGCCGACCUGAGAGGGGGAUCGGCCAAAAUGGGACUGAGAAACGGCCCAGACCCCUAAGGGGGGGAGCAGUAGGGAAUCUUCGGCAAUGGGGGGAAACCUGACCGGGCAAAGCCGCGUGAGUGAAGAAGGUUUUCGGAUCGUAAAGAUCUGUUGUAAGUGAAGAACGGGUGUGGGAGUGGACAGUUCACACUGUGACGGUAGCUUACCAGAAAGGGACGGCUAACUACGUG